ACGAGAUUGCCACCUAUUUACCUUCUUGUAACCAUAAGAAUGAGGGAAGCUUCAUUCCGACGGAGUUCGACCAAAAUAGAGAAGAAGUUGUAAGGGCAACCCUUGCAUAAAAAUAUCCACUCACCAACUGUUCACCAACUGUUCUUCCUCUUGCUGGCAUACCUUAUGCAGCAUCCUCAGAUGCCAGAGCGCGUUUCUGCUGCAGCCUCCACGAUGCCUGGGCUGAUAGCAAUCAGGUCCUGCUAUGCUUCUUUCAGGAAGAGCUGACCCCUGGAAUCUGGGCUAGACUUGCACUUGUUUUGGCCAUUGGAAUAUCAAGCUGACUUUUUGUGGGCUCUGGAGACUAGGACCUAAAAGGAGGAAUGUUGCCCCCUCAUCAUUAUGUAAAGAAGCUGGCGCAACCUGCUGGAGGAGAAUAUGCCACCUGGGGAAGAACUGAGGCACCCAGCCAACAUCCAGCACCCACCACUAGACAUGAAAACACUGGUCGGUUACUAAUGGAGAAGAAGAAAAAGCAGCAAAGACAACGAGUAUACUUGGGAUGCGAUCGCAUGCCUGGAGCAUCUGAGUAUUGGUUGGAAAGAGGUAAAUCAGGCACCAUUUCUCCAUGAUGUGUCAGGACCUGAAUCUGUCAUUUGCGAGCCUGACCUCAUAACUCAGCCAAGCCAAGCUGCAAGGCACCCUGGGAACCCAUCACUGAAAGACUGCAGAGGGAGGAAGGCAAGGGCAGGAAUAGCCAGCUGGUCAAGCAGCAGAGUGUCUCCUCAGCUCCCAGGAAAUGGUGUCUAAGGGUGAUGAUGAACUGGGACUUCAUCUGAGUCCAAAAUAAUGAUGCUGCUGAUGCAACAGCAGAACUUAUUAAACACUUACUACUGCAUAU